rnacentral:lncRNA from 1 species
CCCCCCUCUAGCAUUAAGCGUAUUAUCUAACACUUCGCACGAACUUUUAUGGGCCUUCCACGCAAAUUUUAAAGGUAUUCGUUGCGAACUUUUAAAGAUCUUCAUUGAGAGCUUUUAAAGAUCUCCACUACGAGCUAUUAAAGGUCUUCACCACGAGAUUUUGAAGAUCUUGACCAUGAGCUUUUAAGGAUCUUUGCACGGACUUUUAAAGGUCUUCACUGCAAACUCUUAAAGGUCUUGACCACGAGCUUUUAAGGACCUUUGCAUGAACUUUUA